GACGAACGCUGGCGGCGUGCUUAACACAUGCAAGUCGAACGCUGAAGCUCAGCUUGCUGGGUGGAUGAGUGGCGAACGGGUGAGUAACACGUGAGUAACCUGCCCUCUUCUUUGGGAUAACGCCCGGAAACGGGUGCUAAUACUGGAUAUUCACUGAUUCUCGCCUGGGGGUUGGUGGAAAGGUUUUUUCUGGUGGGGGAUGGGCUCGCGGCCUAUCAGCUUGUUGGUGGGGUGAUGGCCUACCAAGGCUUUGACGGGUAGCCGGCCUGAGAGGGUGACCGGUCACAUUGGGACUGAGAUACGGCCCAGACUCCUACGGGAGGCAGCAGUGGGGAAUAUUGCACAAUGGGCGAAAGCCUGAUGCAGCGACGCCGCGUGAGGGAUGGAGGCCUUCGGGGUGUAAACCUCUUUCGCUCAUGGUCAAGCCGCAGCUUUGGGUUGUGGUGAGGGUAGUGGGUAAAGAAGCGCCGGCUAACUACGUG
rnacentral:rRNA from 1 species